UUACUACUCCCUCCAUCCGGAAAUACUUGUCAUCAAAAUGGAUAAAAGGGGAUGUAUCUAGACGUAUUUUAGUUCUAGAUACAUCUCUUUUUAUUCAUUUUGAUGACAAGUAUUUUCGAACGGAGGGAGUAUAUG
rnacentral:pre_miRNA from 1 species